GUGCCAGCCGCCGCGGUAAUACGUAGGGGGCUAGCGUUGUCCGGAAUUAUUGGGCGUAAAGCGCGUGUAGGCGGCUUGUUAAGUCCGGUGUGAAAACUCGGUGGCUCAACCCCGAGCCUGCACUGGAAACUGGCUUGCUAGAGUCCGGAAGAGGAGAUUGGAAUUCCUGGUGUAGCGGUGAAAUGCGCAGAUAUCAGGAAGAACACCCGUGGCGAAGGCGGAUCUCUGGGACGGUACUGACGCUGAGACGCGAAAGCGUGGGGAGCAAACAGGAUUAGAAACCCCUGUAGUCC
rnacentral:rRNA from 1 species